CAGACUGUGAAGUCUCUCUGCUCUUCAAAGAGCAGACUGUUGUUCCCCCCAUCACCCACAAAAGUACAUCGAAGUAUUGUAUCCUCCUUAUGUUCUCCCUGGUGAUCCUCCAAGGAUUUUGAUGUUUAACAUAGACCCUUGUUCAGAGUUGGGAUCUAAAAUCCUCAGUUAUCUGGUGUGUUUGACAGCAAGCAAAAAUCUUUAUAUGCAUUUUGAACUGUCCUGUGGGGCCAUAAGAGUUGCCUCGCUGCUAGGUUGUCUGGAAAACCCAUGAGAGAAUGUUGGCUUUCCUUUCCUUAGGUAUUUCUGGUGUAGUUCUGUUUUCUCCCUUGUAAUCUUGGGGGUUCUUUUCAUAAAGAAUGAAAGUUUCAGCAAUAGAAAUCUUGGCUGAUUGGUAGUGCCAAAAGUUUCUGCUGGAAAUCUUGCAGGGAACCUGCUUAAAUGAUCACACGAUCUUCUGGUUUUGUUUGUUUAUGUUGUUAUUGUUACAGAUAGUACAUUUAUUGCUGAAUAAAAAAUUCUCAUGGGUACAAGGUGCACACUUCUUACAUGAACAGCUUUGGCUGUUCAGUGCACUUGGAUAGUCUGAGGAACAGGAGGAGUACAUGGGAUGGUGCAGAAGCCCCCAGCACUUGCUUCCUGGAGCAUAUGGUGCUUCUGGUCUGCAGGACACGUGUCUGUGUCUGUAAGAACUGAGCUACAAAAUGCAGCCAGUCACUCUGCAUAUGCUGCUGCUUAUGAGCCCUUGCAGUGGUUAAAGAUGGUAUAAUUGGCUGCAGGAAGUAUAAGCCUCUGUCCCAUACAGAAAGAAAAAUUCCUUUAUGCUUAACAAGACUUAAAUCUUUUAUUUCAAGUUGUAGCUGCUACAUUACCCCUGUACAUGCAGCCACUGGAACCACAAAGAGCACACUGAGUAAAGUAUCCAGUGUGGGGAAAACACUGGGAGAUGUGGACAUGGUCUUCAAGCUCCAAAUUUGCCAAAUUGUGUUGUUCAUAACCUGUAAGUUACAGUGCACUGACAAACAAAAAAGCUUUUAUCAGUAUUUGUGUGGUGUGGGAACCAAACAAACCAAUUUUGCAAAUUGUGAUUGCUUAAUUACGUGAUUGGAGGCUAGGCCUGUUGCAAAACAAUUCUAAUUCUGUCCCACAGUGGAAGGUUUAAAAGUCUUUUAAAUGGUUUUACAGCAUUAAAAAUGCACUAAAUAUUUUGUUUAUUGCUGGACACAAUGAAUGACAUGCAUUCUGAGUUGCAUAUCUUCUCAAACAGCAAAGUUUCGGACAGUUUGGUGGACACUUGGGGAAAGGAAAAGAUCCAUGCCCAGUUGCUCAUUUCAUAGCAGUUCCCUCUCCCAAACCAUGUGUCUUCUCAUGGCUGUAUUUUCUGUAUGUAGUGGGAGUCAUUUCUUUCACCUGCUGGUCAGGCUGCUGCUCCUGAACUGCUCACACAUCCACAGCAGUUUGGCUGUCCAGGGAAUUUGGAGGGGGACAGGAAGAAGCAGGAGGCAGUGGCUUUGCUUUGUCCACCACACUGAUCAGAGGUGGGAUCAGAAAAUGCCAUCUUGGAGCAGCUGCCAGUUGCUGCUCUCUCCCCAGAGGUAGAAAAAUGUGAUUUUAUGUAACAGUUUUCUCAAGUUCAUGUGCUACCUUUACUUGAAUAGCAGUUGUCUGUUCCUUUGGCAAAAGAAUAACUUCAGCUGCAGGCUGGGGUUUGUCUGUUGUAACGGAGUUGUAGCUAUGCUGUGAAUCAGUCUCUGAUUCUUUCUGGAUUUGUUAUGAAUAUAUCAGAGUUUGGGCUGGAGAAAUCAGUUUGUUCGGUGUACUGGGGAGCUGAGCUGAUUCCCUGUGCAUCCCUAAAGAAAAAGAUAAAAGAAGGAAGCUUGGUGAAGUUUGCAGGAAGGACAGAUAAGAUGCAGGCAAAGCUUUUUUGUCACUGCCAUUAUGGCAUCUACUGACCCAAAUGCCCACUGUCACACAGGGGAGCAAACUAUUAUUGGAGAAUAAUUACUGCUGUGAUGUCAUGCAAUUAACUUGAAUCACUUUUGCUGGCUGAAAGGUGGGAAGGGAGGUAGAGACAUUAAACAUUUCUUCCUUGUGCUGCUGUUUUGCAGACUUGCAGUACAUGAGGAGAGAAAGCGAUUAAGUCAAAUUUGGACUGACAGUGCAUGUAAAUUAUAUGUUUAGCACAGAAACGUGCACCAUUGUGAAUGCCAUGUUCAAACUCUAUGCUAACCCUGUAUGUGAUAGACAGCACCAAGGGUCAAGUGUUUAAAUAACCAUCUGCAGAAAUAUAAUUUUUAAGUUACAGAAGAAAUAACAAUCUUAUCAGUCCUGAAACUGAAGGAAAAUUUCUAUCAAUAACCACAAAGAGACAGUUUCUCUACUCCAGUUAAGAAAAAAAAAAAAA
ensembl:lncRNA